GUGUCAGUUUAUGGAUGCCUUUGCGCAAGAUUACAGUAUUGUAAGUUCAGUUGUCUUUUCUUGAACGAAAUUAUUGUUCUUGCUUGAUGUACUUGCUGCCAUGGACAGUUCGUAUGUGACUUUUCAUCAUGCAUGAGAGGUUGGUGACAAUAAUGGCUAAAUACCUUGAAGUAUCCUUAUUUUCCUGCUACAUUCUUGGAGCCCUCGUUUGCCUUAUGCAGAGGAAGCAAUUCUUGAAGCUUAAUUGAUAAUGCUAGAUUUUUUUAUUUGAAAAAUGUGUAUUGCCUUGUCCAAUUAUUUAUCCGGAAAAGAAGAUGAUAUUUCAUCAUGGGUUCCCAAAGACCAAAUUACAUACUUCUCAUUGUAAUAUAUAUAAUUUUAAAGGAAAGUGGAAAAAGUGAUCAAUUACUGAUUUUGCACUUAUACUAACAAUUGCUUGUUGCACUAAUCUUUUUAUCUACGAUAAUUGUAUUAUUUUCCUUUUUCCCAGAGUGAAAGACUUUCCACUUCAUUCAAUACACCACUGGUGGCGUCACUCUUUGGCUCUUCAGUGGAGUGCUUGGAAGUACUUAUUGAGGCUGGUGUUGAUGUCAAUGCUGGUAGUCCUGCAACUCCGUUAACAUUAGCUGCUGAUAAAGGCUUAACUGAGUUCAUCAAUUGUCUGCUGGAAGCUGGUGCUGAUGCAAAUAUUCCUGAUGAAAAUGGUAAAAUGCCCGUAGAAAUUGUGGCACUGAAAGGAUGGGAGGAAUGCGUUAAGCUCCUUUUCCCUGUCACAACCCCUUUGCUUGAAUAUGCAGACUGGAGCAUUGAUGGAAUAAUUCAGCAUGGGAAAACUGUACGCCUGCGCCAAGCAUAUAAGAUUAAAGCAUAAGGCGAUGCUGCAUUCCGGAAGAAGGAUUAUCUCGCAUCAUCUCGCUAUACUCUUGCCCUGGAAAUGGACCCCAACGAUUGCACCAUGUACGCAAAGAGGAGCCUCUGCUUCCAGCGCAUGAACGACAAAGGGAGCGCCAUGGCUGACGCCAAGGCCUACAGAGACAUGCGACAGGACCUGCCGGAACCUUGCUCCGAGGAGGAAGGAGCUGCUCUGAAGCUGGUUGAGGAGUACUGCAGGGGAAUCGAAGCGCUCAUGUCUGGCCUCAACUUGGGCCCUGAAAGUGGCCCGGCUGACAAGGGUUCUAGCACCAAAGCAGCAGCAGGAGCUGGGCCACGGUUACGCAGGUCAACCAGAGAGAAGAAGCCCAACACGCGCUUCAGUGGGCCUGAAUGGGCUACCUGAGCCUUGUGCCUCAAAUGGCUCCGGUUUUUCCCUGAAGAGCCGCGAAAGCUGCAGGAUGGAGAUGCGUGUUGCGUACCAUAUACAAACUUUCCUUUGUCAUUAUUAUCUCAAAAAAAAAAACUUCC